rnacentral:rRNA from 1 species
UACGGGGGGGGCAAGCGUUGUUCGGAAUUACUGGGCGUAAAGGGCUGGUAGGCGGCCAACUAAGUCCGACGUGAAAUCCCAAGGCUUAACCUUGGAACUGCGUCGGAUACUGGAUGGCUUGAAUUCGGGAGAGGGAUGCGGAAUUCCAGGUGUAGCGGUGAAAUGCGCAGAUAUCAGGAGGAACACCAAUGGCGAAGGCAGCUCGCUGGGACGGUACUGACGCUGAGACGCGAAAGCGUGGGGAGCAAACAGG